UGAGAAGCAGACCGUGUUGGCCCAGAUC
rnacentral:piRNA from 1 species